rnacentral:tRNA from 1 species
GGUAGCGUGUCCGAGCGGCCUAAGGAGCACGCCUCGAAAGCGUGUGUGGGGGAGACUCCACCGUGGGUUCAAAUCCCACCGCUACCGCCA